GUGCCUAACACAUGCAAGUCGAGCGAGAAAGCCCGCAAGGGUGAGUAAAGCGGCGCACGGGUGCGUAACACGUGGGUAAUCUGCCCUAGAGUCCGGAAUAACUCGCCGAAAGGCGUGCUAACGCCGGAUGAGACCACGGGAGCCUCGGCUCUCGCGGGAAAAGGUGGCCUCUGUAUACAAGCUAUCGCUCUAGGAUGAGCCCGCGGCCCAUCAGCUCGUUGGCGGGGUAAUGGCCCACCAAGGCUACGACGGGUAGCUGGUCUGAGAGGACGAUCAGCCACACUGGAACUGAGACACGGUCCAGACUCCUACGGGAGGCAGCAGUGGGGAAUCUUGCGCAAUGGGCGAAAGCCUGACGCAGCAACGCCGCGUGUGUGAUGAAGGUCUUCGGAUCGUAAAGCACUGUCGCGAGGGACGAAUAAGGGUCGGUCUAACAAGCCGGUCCGAUGACGGUACCUCGAGAGGAAGCACCGGCUAACUCUGUGCCAGCAGCCGCGGUAAUACAGAGGGUGCAAGCGUUGUUCGGAAUUAUUGGGCGUAAAGCGUGUGUAGGCGGCUUAGUAAGUUGGGUGUGAAAGCCCUCGGCUUAACCGAGGAAGUGCGCCCAAAACUGCUUGGCUUGAGUACCGGAGAGGGUGGCGGAAUUCCCGGUGUAGAGGUGAAAUUCGUAGAUAUCGGGAGGAACACCAGCGGCGAAGGCGGCCACCUGGACGGAUACUGACGCUGAGACGCGAAAGCGUGGGGAGCAAACAGGAUUAGAUACCCUGGUAGUCCACGCUGUAAACGAUGAGCGCUAGGUGUUGUGGGUGUUGACCCCUGCAGUGCCGCAGCUAACGCAUUAAGCGCUCCGCCUGGGAAGUACGGCCGCAAGG
rnacentral:rRNA from 1 species